AGGCGUGGUUCUGUGUUGUUUUUAUUUUUAGUAGCACACACGGUUGUGGUGCUGUGGCCGUCAAAUUUUGGUCAUGUGAUGCGCUCCUCGGUGAAACAUUAUGCUUGUUUUACCAUAGCAUCGACGGUCUAACCGACGUUACUAUGCACUUCAUAUGCACUUCUAGUUGGGUCAAUCUCAAGCGUUGUUGUUGCGUUGUUUUGUUGUCAUGGAUAGUUCUAGGCUGGGUUUGGCUAGGGCUCGGGAGCUUGCGGCUGUGCCUGCUCGUGAGCGUGGGUCGUGGUGGUGGUCGUGUGCGUGGUAGCCGUGGGCGUGGUCGUACAUGUUUUGAGGUUCCGUGGCCUGUUGAUGCGAUUGACGAUGCUGGUGUCCGUGGUCGGGGCUUGAAUGUAAUUUUGUUAUGCUAACCAUGUUAUUAGGUUUUUCAUGUAUUAUUAUCCUGCUAAAUGCUAUUCCACUUGGAACGCAAGAAUUAUGCAAUGUAAAAUGGAAGAUUCACAGGUAGCUAACCUGUGUAAAAAUGAAAUGUCUUCCACGUGUAAAAAAAAAAAAAAAAUGGAGUCCUGGAGGCUCCCUGACCAGGGAGACAAAGGGAAUAGCUUUCCACGUCUUAGCGGAGCAGUGUUCCUUUCACUUGACGUGACAUCUGGUGACUAAUCACAUCGAAUGACAUACACGUGUCUUGAUAUUCAGUAUAAAUUCAGAUGCAUCCCGUGUGGCCUCCAGACAUAGCACAAUCUCUCCUCUUUUCCAUUUCGAGCUCUAGUUCAAUAUACUGCAACAUUUGUUAGUAACUUCAUCGUUGCUUUAUCAUGAGCCGAUGUUUAUCGAGCCAAUGCUGUUCACCGGCGACGACUUCUAAGAAAGCUGGUCGGUCUGAAGCUUCCGGUAUUUCAUCAUCAUCUAGCAGUUUAUCAUAUGACUGCGCUUAUAUGCCCUCGGAACCUUUCGCCCGAUUCUCUCUUUCGGUC
rnacentral:lncRNA from 1 species